rnacentral:rRNA from 1 species
UACGUAGGGUGCAAGCGUUGUCCGGAAUUAUUGGGCGUAAAGAGCGUGUAGGCGGCCAGGUAGGUCCGUUGUGAAAACUGGAGGCUCAACCUCCAGCGGUCGAUGGAAACCAUCUGGCUAGAGUCCGGAAGAGGAGAGUGGAAUUCCUGGUGUAGCGGUGAAAUGCGCAGAUAUCAGGAAGAACACCCGUGGCGAAGGCGGCUCUCUGGGACGGUACUGACGCUGAGACGCGAAAGCGUGGGGAGCGAACAGG